CGUCUUAGCAUGCAGUCGAGCGGCAAGCGCCAGCAAUGGCGCCUAGAGCGGCGGACUGGUGAGUAACGCGUGGGUGACCUGCCUUGAGGCCGGGGAUAGCCGCUAGAAAUAGCGGGUAAUACCGGAUACGGUUGCCGGGCUAUGGCCUGGUAAAGAAAGGGGCUUCGGCCCCGCCUCGGGAUGGGCCCGCGUCCUAUUAGGUAGUUGGUGAGGUAAAGGCCCACCAAGCCCGAGAUAGGUAGCCGGCCUGAGAGGGUGAACGGCCACACUGGGACUGAGAUACGGCCCAGACUCCUACGGGAGGCAGCAGCUAAGAAUAUUCCGCAAUGGACGAAAGUCUGACGGAGCGACGCCGCGUGGAUGAGGAAGGCCGAAAGGUUGUAAAAUCCUUUUGCGGACGAAGAAUAAGCGGUGGAGGGAAUGCCAUCGUGGUGACGUUAGUCCGUGAAUAAGCCCCGGCUAAUUACGUGCCAGCAGCCGCGGUAACACGUAAGGGGCGAGCGUUGUUCGGAAUUAUUGGGCGUAAAGGGCGCGUAGGCGGUUAUGUAAGUCUGGCGUGAAAGGCGUGAGCUUAACUCACGGACUGCGCUGGAAACUGUGUAACUUGAGUCAUGGAGGGGCAGUCGGAAUUCCGCGUGUAGGGGUGAAAUCUGUAGAUAUGCGGAAGAACACCGGUGGCGAAGGCGGACUGCCAGCCAAUGACUGACGCUGAGGUGCGAAAGUGCGGGGAGCAAACAGGAUUAGAUACCCUGGUAGUCCGCACUAUAAACGAUGCACACUAGGUGUUGGGCCGAGCGGCUCAGUGCCGGAGCGAACGCGAUAAGUGUGCCGCCUGGGAGUAUGCCCGCAAGGGUGAAACUCAAGGAAUUGACGGGGCCCGCACAGCGCGGAGCAUGUGGUUAUCGAUGAUACGCGAGACUACUGGGUU
rnacentral:rRNA from 1 species